UGUAUGGUGGAAAUGUUUUACGUCAAUGUUUACGAUAGAUAGCACAAACGGUGCUUCACAAAUGCAGUAUAUUAAUUUUGACGGUAGAUGGCGGCUUUGAAGUAGAAAUAUCACUGAGCCCUUGUGACAAUUUUGGUACUUUUUGGUACUCCUCCGUUUCGUAAUUCGUUAGCGUUUCACCUUAUUCACCUGUUGACCUACAAAUGCUAAUUAUUUGAAAGCCAGUUUUCUAUAACUAAACGAUUUGACUUUACUUUGUGUUCUCAGUUAGCAUAAAAUACAUGUAUUUCUUUACUGUUAAAAAAAGGAAUAACAGGGCUUUCUGGUUGUGUAUGCUCAAAAACGAGUGCCCUUAUACAGUGUGUUGGUAGCUAGGUGAACUACCACACAGUAAGCGAUGCUUUCAGUCUGGUAUUCACAUACCUAUCAGCAGCAUGCACACACAGACGCACACAAAAGCAGUCUCAAGAGAGGCGAUGGACAAUUUGCAGUUAUUUCUUUUUGUUAUAAGAGGCUAUACUUUCUAUGAUAGCCUUGGACAACUCGCUGUCAAUAGCUGACAACAACCGUAAGUAAUGUGUGUGUGAUACAUAGGGCAUAGUCUAUGUGCUCAAAGCAAGAAGAGGUUGAGAUACAGUAUAAUACAUGUACACAUCCAGUUUGCUAUUAAACAUUGCAAUUACAAAAUAAAAGGAAAAUUAUACGAAUGACAACACAGCUGAAGACAAGGUAACAUAAAAAACGUAUCAUAAAAUAAUAGCAAUAAUAAGUAUUUUUACGUAAUGGAGGUCAGGGUGCGCAUGGACAACAACCGACAGCCGAUAUAUUGACCAUUGUAUGAAAUAAGAGCAUUGAUAUGAACAGCAUAUACAAUGUACAGGAACAUACAUUUUUAUAACACCAAAAAUACCAUUCAGGGCAAAAUAUCCCUCAAAUUUUAUGCUGCAGCGCAGGGUGGCACACCCUACGCAGUGGUUAUUUUGUCCAGCGCACCACCAAAACCUCACAGUUUACCAUGCAUCUGCAGUCCACUACAUGCCAAGGAUGACGCCGCCUUCUUGCCAAGCGCCAAUAGCCAAUCUUCCCCAACAAAUGAAUAUUGAUAAGCUAUUGUGCGGCCGUUGCCAUGGAGAUUACUAUUGCUGUCUUGGUGCCUUGUGAUGGAACAUCAAAAGACAUGGCACCAUUAACCACACACACAUUUCUGUGGCUGCACAGAUGCUCUACACCCCUCUGGGAAGAUGGAAGCAUCCACUUUAAUCUUUGCAUCUUCCUCCUUCAUGUCCUACGUGCUUUUGCAGAUCCCCCUAAUGAUGGAUGCAUUUUACUGUCGUAUAUUUAGGGAUGUGCUGUUGUUUCCUCUGUUUAUACGGGCUAAUGAAGUCCAAAGCAAGGCCUGUAUCUGUUUAAAUAAUGCUCAGUAUUAUGUCAUUGUACCACUGCAGCAAUAAACCGUGUUAAAUUAGCUCUAUCUGCACCAUUGUAGUGCUAAAGUCAGGCUAUGUUUUGCUAUGAUGGCCAACUGUGGUCAUGCACAUACAUAUUAUAUAACGUCUCGGUUUGGAAAAUGGUGCUCUGCGUUUAUGUGUGCCAUGCAAGAUGUAGGCCAAGAGGAGCUCAGGAUGUCGUUUCAGUUCACAUGGCAGCACGGUGACUCACUCCCGCUCUCUCACGCUUCAGUAAGCACCCGCCGGGGGGCGCUCUCCUAGGCUCGUCGUGACUCGCUUCGAAUGUGCAAACCUGCACGAAGAGUGAGAAUAAGGGCUCUGUCAAAUCUGUAAUUUUGUAUGAUUUAAUUCUGCUGUUCUCCACAGUGAUUUACAGUCGUGUCGGCUGUCAGAGUAGGGCAUCAGUCAUCAUUAGCGAGACCUUUCAAAAGGAAUAAUGGGCUUUGAAUGGUGUUUUUAUUCCUAGGGCUGAGAUUAUGAUUAUACUUUAACACGUCAUUCAAUGUGUUUUGCUGCAUGGAAAUCAAGCCAUCUCGUCCAAAAGAUGUAUCAUAAAAUAUGCAAUGUUUGGCACAGGUCUGCAAUCUACAUGUGGUGUUGGUUUGUGCCAGAGGGGGUAUAUAUGACUAUUUGACAUAGGGCUAACAAUCCAGGUUAUCAAAUUGGUACUUCAGUGAUGCAGGAAAGAUGACAAUUCUCUGUGACAUAAGUGCUGUCCUACUCAUGUGCUAAAAUACUUCAUUUGUAUGCAUUGUAACUCUGCUCCGAAUUUCCGAAUAGUGCAAAAGUGUUUAUCAUGCAUUUACUCAUCAAUAAGCUCGGGGACCUAUGAUGCUUUUUCCACUUUUCUGACCUAUAAAUGUUGUUAGAAUGUUGUAUUCUCGUGUGAUGCCAAAGUUUCAGAUCAGUUUCAGAGUUUUUUUCUCCCUGCGACGUCACAGUGACACAAACGGAUAAAAAUAAUAUUUCGUGUAUGAUCAUUUAUUUGGGGUGGCCUGCAAAUUUGGGCCGCCACAAAUAGAUUUGAGAUUUGGUGUUAGCUUUCUUUUUUUUUUUUUUUUAAGAUUCUCACACACACACACACACACACACACACACACACACACACACACACACACACA